rnacentral:rRNA from 1 species
CAGGCCUAAUACAUGCAAGUCGAGGGGUAACAGAGGGUGCUUGCACCCUGCUGACGACCGGCGCACGGGUGAGUAACACGUAUGCAACCUACCUUUUACUGGGGGAUAGCCAAGAGAAAUUUUGAUUAAUACCCCAUACGAUCUAAUUAUUUCAUGAUAAAUAGAUGAAAGUUUCGACGGUAAAAGAUGGGCAUGCGUCCUAUUAGUUUGUUGGUAAGGUAACGGCUUACCAAGACUACGAUAGGUAGGGGUCCUGAGAGGGAGAUCCCCCACACUGGUACUGAGACACGGACCAGACUUCUACGGGAGGCAGCAGUAAGGAAUAUUGGACAAUGGAGGAAACUCUGAUCCAGCCAUGCCGCGUGCAGGAAGAAUGCCUUAUGGGUUGUAAACUGCUUUUAUACAGGAAGAAAACUUGGUAUGUAUACCAACUUGACGGUACUGUAAGAAUAAGGAUCGGCUAACUCCGUGCCAGCAGCCGCGGUAAUACGGAGGAUCCAAGCGUUAUCCGGAAUCAUUGGGUUUAAAGGGUCCGCAGGCGGUUUAAUAAGUCAGAGGUGAAAUCCUACAGCUCAACUGUAGAAUUGCCUUUGAUACUGUUAGACUUGAGUUAUUGUGAAGUAAUUAGAAUGUGUAGUGUAGCGGUGAAAUGCAUAGAUAUUACACAGAAUACCGAUUGCGAAAGCAGAUUACUAACAAUAUACUGACGCUGAGGGACGAAAGCGUGGGUAGCGAACAGGAUUAGAUACCCUGGUAGUCCACGCCGUAAACGAUGGAUACUAGCUGUUCGAUGCACAUUGGUGUGUUGAGUGGCUAAGCGAAAGUGAUAAGUAUCCCACCUGGGGAGUACGCUC